rnacentral:misc_RNA from 1 species
GAACGCACAUUGCGCCUUCUGGUAUUCCGGGAGGCAUGCCUGUCUGAGCAUCAUAAUAUCUACUCAGAUCUUUGAUUAUUUUAUAUAGUCUUGGAUUUGGAUUUAAUCAGAGAAGUAACCUAUAUGAGUAGAUUACUCUUUGGAAAAAUAAAGGCAGUUAUAGUGAAACCUGUAUUAAACGUGAUAUUAAAAAGUUUCGUUUUUAAGGACUACAUCUUUGACUUGCCUUUAACCCACUUAAUUCUUUUUGAUUGACCUCAGAUCAGGUAGGGAUACCCGCUGAACUUAAG